rnacentral:lncRNA from 1 species
UUUUUCUAUUCUUUGUCUUAUUAUGGAACUUGAACAAAGUUAACUGAAAGUCAAUUCCAUCUUUUAAAUUUUCUUGAGAUAAUACAGUGCCAUAAUGAAAAUACAUGAAAAUUAGUAACCACUCAGUUAUCCCAUGCACAGAAUUGCAGUUCUAAUUUCAAACUUUCAUAUAAAGCCUUCUAAUUCUUAAAUAUUUUUACACAGCUUCAUCACUUUUAUUGCUACUUUAUUUUCAGAUCACUUAAGCCAAAACUGGAGACAGUUUAGGUACCUUUGAGUUGUUAAAAGUUAUAGCCAAUUUUCUGAAAAAUUAUACCAGCUAAAAACACAACAUUAAAUAUUUACCCUGUUGGAUGUUAAAAAACGCUUACAAUGAAAAAUGUUCACAUAUUGACUAUUCAAAAUGGCCUUCACUUUGAAAUUGUGAAAUGGAAGGGAUUGCAGAUGUACAAGAAUAAAUAUAAAAACAAAUGAGUUGACUUGAAGUGUUGCCGGCUUUCAUAAACAUGCUACUGCAAUAACAUGUGACAUUAAUAUUUAAUUACAAAAGCACUGCUGCAAAAUCUUUGAAAUUAAUGUUUUGCAAAAUUAACAUUCAGUGCACAGAAGCAAAGUCGUUCCAGGCGCGACUGUGAUUAACAAUGCCAUUCACUUUACAUAUUAUAUUAAUAUAUUAUUCAAGCUACGAAUUAACACCUCCUAAUUUAAAUAAGGUGCUACAUAUCAUGAUGAGCUAAAAUGCUUUUCUUAAAACGGCCCGUCUGAUUUUAAGCAAUCUGUGUUUAUCAUUUAAUAUUUUGUUAUUGAAUACUGUUCUCUGUAAAACUCCUUCUACUUUAAUUUCAAGCCGAGGAGACCUCAUUAAACUGGUGCCUUCCGUUUCUAGGAUUGUUAAGCCAUUUGAACCAUAUUUUGUUCGCUAGCUAAGCCAGCAGUGCUGAAAUACUGCUGUGUGUAUGAAUGCGUUCUGAGGCAGCCAUACUUCUAUUUCGAGGUUCUAAGGGAUCCUUUCAAGCAACAUGCUUCUUUGCUUUCAAUGAGGCACUUGCUUACACAAAUAUUGCCACUAUCAUUGUGUCACAGAUUUCUACAUUUUUACUCUGAGGGUACUAGUGCACAUACAUUUUCUCAGACUUACUCGGCUUCAGGAAGACCAUAGCCACAUUUUAGAAAAUUACUACUCUAAAAAAAAAUGCCAAUCACAGGUGGUUGAAAUUAGCCACCAAAUACCUAAAUGCUUUGAAGAUAACCAUUUUAAAGAUCAUUAUUUUAUUUCAAUGACUCUAGAAAGUGAGAAAAGGCAAGUCUAUUAAAUGCCUAUUAAAUGAAUCCUAAAAAUGUAAUUUUCUAGUAGUAACUUCUUGAGAAGUUGGUAGUUCAUAAAGAAAACUCUUUGUAUAAAUGUUUCCCAAACUAUAAAUGUCUUUGGAAAAUAUACCAUAAAAACCUUAAAAUCACAAAUAUGUUAGGAUAUUCUACGCCAAAGGCAAGAGGGAAAAACAUUUAAAAUUCUACAACACAAUGUAAAUCGAAAACACAAAGGAUUGUUGUAAUGAUGACUGGAAGGUGGGACAAACGGGGUUAUUUAGGGUGAAGUUUUGUCUUAAUUCUUGAUGAAUGAUGUCAGUAUCUAACAAUUUUGCCUAUGGUGAUGAAUUCUGGGAAACCCACACCUGUUGAGUAAAUGUAUGCUACAAGGGUAAACUUCUGAGUGUUCAGAAAUUUGGCCAUAUUAUAGAUAAAAAUAUUAUAAAGAGACUCUAUGUUACUUCUAUGCCAUUCUCUGUUACCUAAGAUAAAAAAUAUCAUAUUUCUAAUUCUAUGUCAUAUUACAGCAAAGCUCCAAGGUACCAAAGUACUUCAUUUCCUAAAUGCCACUUAGCAGUUAGUUCAAUCUUACGAUGUAGACAUAAGACUGAACAAUGGGGAAUCUUCUGACAAUAACCCUCCUACUGAUUAAUCAAAAGUAACUACAAGUGCCCAAAUCUGGACCACCAUUACAGUCAUCACAUCACAUAUCUUCCCAGAUUAAAAAAAAACCUUUCCCCAUUGAAGAAAUGGACCCAAGCAACUAGUGAGUGAACACCUGAAUCGAGUCAUGCUCAUCAUGGCAAACUACAUUGAUUUAAUCAUUUUGCUUAAUGAAUGCAGAAUUUGGUUAAUGGUAUUACAUCCAGAAAUUCAGUAGUCUUGCUUUCUCCUUUUCCCC